UAAACACUUCGUUAGGUGAGGCUCCUGUGUGGAGAUAUGCUGCUGCCCAGAAAUGUCGAGAGACGCCAAUGGGUCAACAAUAACUAUCGAUGAAGGUAGUUUUUAAUGUAGCUGGAUUUAUCCUAUGCCACACAGUGCUAAAGCUCAACGGGGAAGAUGUAU
rnacentral:sRNA from 2 species